rnacentral:siRNA from 1 species
CACCUUGGCUGCCUUUCGCGGGA